AGUUUUCAGAUGGGAGAUGCCUGGAGUCCAGAUAAGGAUUCACUCCCCAGAUACACUUGAAUUAGUGUUGAUUAUUAAGCUUUACAGUAUAUUCUGUAUUUUCAUUUAGAUUUAAACCAGGAUUUGUUUAAAAAAUGUCCUGGACCUGGCCAGGACAGUUGUGACACUGGAUUUACACCAAAGGUACAAAGAGUUAAUGCAAAGCAUUUUCUAGGGUAAGAAAGAGUUGUCAUGGGAGUCCUGGAAUACACUGAAUCACCAGAAUUACUUGCUUCCAGAAUUAUUCUAUUGCAUUUAUCCACAAAACCUGCAAUGUGGAGCCUGGAUUUGAAUUGGA
rnacentral:lncRNA from 1 species